rnacentral:rRNA from 1 species
GAUGAACGCUGGCGGCGUGCCUAAUACAUGCAAGUCGAGCGAAUGGAUUAAGAGCUUGCUCUUAUGAAGUUAGCGGCGGACGGGUGAGUAACACGUGGGUAACCUGCCCAUAAGACUGGGAUAACUCCGGGAAACCGGGGCUAAUACCGGAUAACAUUUUGAACCGCAUGGUUCGAAAUUGAAAGGCGGCUUCGGCUGUCACUUAUGGAUGGACCCGGGUCGCAUUAGCUAGUUGGUGAGGUAACGGCUCACCAAGGCAACGAUGCCUAGCCGACCUGAGAGGGUGAUCGGCCGCACUGGGACUGAGACACGGCCCAGACUCCUACGGGAGGCAGCAGUAGGGAAUCUUCCGCAAUGGACGAAAGUCUGACGGAGCAACGCCGCGUGAGUGAUGAAGGCUUUCGGGUCGUAAAACUCUGUUGUUAGGGAAGAACAAGGGCUAGUUGAAUAAGCUGGCACCUUGACGGUACCUAACCAGAAAGCCACGGCUAACUACGUGCCAGCCGCCGCGGUAA